AACCUGAAAGAUUCUUGGACAGAGAUGUAAGCAAAUGCUCAAGUUGUGGCCCUGACCCAGCUGACCUUCUGCCAUCUCAAGCACAUGCUACCGCCGUGGCAUUCUGUUUUACCAGAGAUCCAAAACAAUGAGGAUGAGUGAUCGUGGAUGGGAGCCUCUCAAACUAAAGCUGACUAAUACACUGAUGUAAACCUUUAACUCUUGGGAUUUAAAAACCAGAAGAUAAUGGAUACACAGGUUAGAGAAGAGAACCUGCUCCACAUCACAAAGGGUCCACUGAGACAGGAUGAAGAGACCUAAUAGGACUGAAGUGAUGCUCACAGACAGGUGUGAACUACGGGGUCUCUACUGUGUCUCUGUGCUGAUCCAUCAUUCUGCAUCUUUCUCUGGUUCAAUGACCUUCACCUCCAUGGUCUUGGCUGGAUCAACUUGUAUGUAAAACUUGACUGUAUUUAACCAUUUGUUUGUCAGGUGAUCUGGCAUCGUUUCAAAGGCAAAUCUUCUCUCUCAUGGGAACUGGGUCUUCUGAAAAUGGGAAAAUAAACUUUACGUCUUCCUGGAA